rnacentral:rRNA from 1 species
UACAGAGGGUGCAAGCGUUGCUCGGAAUCAUUGGGCGUAAAGGGCAGGUAGGUGGUCUCGUUUGUCUGGGGUGAAAGCCCAGGGCUUAACCCUGGAAGUGCCCCGGAAACGGCGAGACUAGAGUCUUGGAGAGGGUCGUGGAAUUCCCGGUGUAGCGGUGAAAUGCGCAGAUAUCGGGAGGAACACCAAUGGCGAAGGCAGCUCGCUGGGACGUUACUGACGCUGAGACGCGAAAGCGUGGGGAGCAAACAGG